GGGGGGCGAGCUUACACAUGCAAGUCGUACCAGUGUGGUAGCUCACAGCUUGCUGGGGUACACGAGUGGCGAACGGGUGAGUAACACGUGGGUGACUGCCCUGCACUUCGGGAUAAGCCUGGGAAACUGGGUCUAAUACCGGAUAGGACCGCACGUAGGGUGUGGUGGAAAGUUUUUUCGGUGGGAUGGGCCCGCGGCCUAUCAGCUUGUUGGUGGGGUAAUGGCCUACCAAGGCGCCGCACGGGUAGCCGGCCUGAGAGGGUGGACGGCCACAUUGGGACUGAGACACGGCCCAGACUCCUACGGGAGGCAGCAGUGGGGAAUAUUGCACAAUGGGCGGAAGCCUGAUGCAGCGACCCCGCGUGGGGGAUGACGGCCUUCGGGUUUGUAAACUCCUUUCCCCAUCGACGAAGGGUUUCUGACGGUAGAUGGAGAAAAAGCACCGGUAACUACGUGCCGGCAGCCGCGGGUAAUACGUAGGGUGCGAGCGUUGUCCAGAAUUCUGGGGCUUAAAGAGCUCGUAGGUGGUUUGUCCGUCUCCGUAAAUUCGGGGGCUCACUGAGCGUGCGGCCUAUACGGCUUACUUGAUUCGGGGGAGACGGAAUUCCUGUGUACCGUAAAUCCCCAGAUCGAGAAGCACACCAUGGCCAAGGGUUCGCGUGGGCUUACAGGAACUAAGACGGUAUCCUGCGAAGCAUCAUAUAAAUCCAGUAUCAACACACGUUGGCCAGGUUGUUCAAUCGGAAUCUGCGUUUUUAAGAAUACGUCCCCCUGGGGAAGAAGCUCAGCCGUUACUCAGCAACACCGUAGAGGCCCGAUUGACGAGACACGUAUAUACCCUAACCAGCUGCUAAGCAUAUAAAUGCCUCGCACACCUUAAGUGAACACGAAGGCUAUUACCGUAGUCGUGCGGGGAGAG
rnacentral:rRNA from 1 species